UACGGAGGGUGCAAGCGUUAAUCGGAAUUACUGGGCGUAAAGGGUGCGUAGGUGGUCUGAUAAGUUAUCUGUGAAAUCCCUGGGCUUAACCUGGGCAGGUCAGAUAAGACUGUUAGACUUGAGUAUGGGAGAGGGUAGUGGAAUUUCCGGUGUAGCGGUGAAAUGCGUAGAGAUCGGAAGGAACACCAGUGGCGAAGGCGGCUACCUGGCCUAAUACUGACACUGAGGCACGAAAGCGUGGGGAGCAAACAGG
rnacentral:rRNA from 1 species